rnacentral:rRNA from 1 species
GACGAACGCUGGCGGCGUGCUUAACACAUGCAAGUCGAACGGAAAGGCCCUGCUUUUGUGGGGUGCUCGAGUGGCGAACGGGUGAGUAACACGUGAGUAACCUGCCCUUGACUUUGGGAUAACUUCAGGAAACUGGGGCUAAUACCGGAUAGGAGCUCCUGCUGCAUGGUGGGGGUUGGAAAGUUUCGGCGGUUGGGGAUGGACUCGCGGCUUAUCAGCUUGUUGGUGGGGUAGUGGCUUACCAAGGCUUUGACGGGUAGCCGGCCUGAGAGGGUGACCGGCCACAUUGGGACUGAGAGACGGCCCAGACGCCUACGGGAGGCAGCAGUGGGGAAUAUUGCGCAAUGGGCGGAAGCCUGAUGCAGCAACGCCGCGUGCGGGAUGACGGCCUUCGGGUUGUAAACCGCUGUCGCCUGUGACGAAGCGGGAGUGACGGUAAUGGGUAAAGAAGCACCGGCUAACUACGUG